rnacentral:rRNA from 1 species
CACAGCGGAGGAACAUGUGGUUUAAUUCGAUGAUACGCGAGGAACCUUACCCGGGUUUGAACGUAGGGAGACAGGGGUGGAAACAUCCUUUUCAGCAAUGACUGCUACGAGGUGCUGCAUGGUGUCGUCAGCUCGUGCCGUGAGGUGUCGGCUUAAGUGCCAUAACGAGCGCAACCCUUAUUUCCAGUUACUAACAGGUGAUGCUGAGGACUCUGGAGAGACUGCCAGCGUAAGCUGUGAGGAAGGUGGGGAUGACGUCAAAUCAGCACGGCCCUUACAUCCGGGCGACACACGUGUUACAAUGGUAAGGACAAAGGGCAGCUACCGGGCGACCGGAUGCGAAUCUCUAAACCUUAUCUCAGUUCGGAUCGGAGUCUGCAACUCGACUCCGUGAAGCUGGAUUCGCUAGUAAUCGCGCAUCAGCCAUGGCGCGGUGAAUACGUUCCCGGGCCUUGUACACACCGCCCGUCAAGCCAUGGGAGCCGGGAGUACCUGAAGUUCGUAACCGCAAGGAUCGACCUAGGGUAAAACUGGUGACUGGGGCUAAGUCGUAAAAAGGUAACCUA